GACGUAGGUGGCGAACGUUAUCCGGAAUCAUUGGGCGUAAAGGGUGCGUAGAUGGCAUGAUAAGUUAUUAGUGGGAAAUCGAGGCUCAACCUCGUGGAAGCUAGUAAUACUAUUUUGCUUGAGUACAGAAGAGGUUAACGGAACUCCAUGUGGAGCGGUAAAAUGCGUAGAUAUAUGGAAGAACACCAAUAACGGCGAAGGCAGUUAACUAUUCUGUUACUGACAUUGAGGCACGAAAGCGUGGGGAGCAAAACGG
rnacentral:rRNA from 1 species